UUAAAUAAAGCCAAAAAGAGGCGUUUCAUUGUUAAUGAUAUCAUUGACUAAUUAGUCUGUUUAGA
rnacentral:tRNA from 1 species